ensembl:lncRNA
CCAUUGGGUCAGAAGGGUCCUUACAGCUCCAUUGGGUUGGAAGGGUCCUUACAGCACUGUUGGGUUGGAAGGGUCCUUACAGAUCACUGAACCACAGUGCCAUUGGGUCAGAAGGGUCCUUACAGCACCACUGGGUUGGAAGGGUCCUUACAGCGCCAUUGGGUCGGAAGGGUCCUUACAGCGCCAUUGGGUCGGAAGGGUCCUUACAGCGCCAUUGGGUCAGAAGGGUCCUUACAGCGCCAUUGGGUUGGAAGGGUCCUUACAGAUCACUGAACCACAGCACUGCUGGGUUGGAAGGGUCCUUACAGCUCCAUUGGGUUGGAAGAGUCCUUACAGAUCAGUGAAUCACAGUGCCAUUGGGUCGGAAGGGUCCUUACAGCACCAUUAG